UGCUCGGGCAGCGACGACGUCUCCGGCUAGCCUCUUCAAUCGUCGGCACGAGUGCGGCUUCGCCUCGGUCGAUGUCGGUUUCCUGUGCCGUAUACCCGAUGGUAGGGCACUCCGUUCGGCCAAGAUGUCCCGAUUCCGUCCCGUGUCCGUGCGCCCUUCGGCGCCCGAGGUGCGGGAUGGACCCCGGAGCAUCCUCCGUGCGUCGCGAUCCGUUCGCUUCCGAACGGGGCGAUCGGUCCGACGACCCACGGCGGCAUGCUCGAUCUCUCGGAUGCGGAACACCCGUGGGUACGAGGCAACGUCCUCCGAACGUCCCGAAAAAACGGCUUCCACGCUCCACAGCGAACGACCGCCGUCCCGAUCGCGAUCGCCCGCCCCGGCGGCACCGAUCGUGUCGGGACGGCGUCGGAUGAGGAAUGCUACCUGGUUGAUCCU
rnacentral:misc_RNA from 1 species